rnacentral:rRNA from 1 species
GCAAGUCGAACGGGUUAUCUUUGUAGCUUGCUAUAGAGAUAAUUAGUGGCAGACGGGUGAGUAAUGCAUAGGAAUCUACCUAGUAGUAUAGGAUAGCCACUAGAAAUGGUGGGUAAUACUGUAUAAUCCCUGCGGGGGAAAGAUUUAUCGCUACAUGAUGAGCCUAUGUUAGAUUAGCUAGUUGUAGGGUAAAGGCCUACCAAGGCGAUGAUCUAUAGCUGGUCUGAGAGGAUGAUCAGCCACACUGGAAUUGAGAUACGGUCCAGACUCGUACGGGAGGCAGCAGUGGGGAAUAUUGGCCAAUUGGCGCAAGCCUGAUCCCGCUAUGCCGCGUGAGUGAGGAAGGCCUUAGGGUUGUAAAACACUUUCAGUGGGGAAGAUAAUGACGGUACCUACAGAAGAAGUCCCGGCAAACUC